CUGGAUCAACUUACUCAUUCUAAUAAUACUGCAAUUAAUUCUAAUAAAAACUUGUCUUUUACCAUCAAUGAGGUUUCUACAACUGUCACAGAUCUAAGAUCUUAAUCUUACAGUAUUAAACAUCAAUAGAUGGUAAAGAAGGAAAGCAAUAUCAGGUUCAUGCAAAUUGAGUAUGAUGAAUUCAAAGGUGGGAACAGAAAGCUGUCACAAAAUACUGAUAAAAAAAACAGUUAUAAAAUGUAUAAUGAUGACAAUCUCAAUAGGCUCUCACAAAAUACUGAUUAAAAAAAGAAAGCUG
rnacentral:lncRNA from 1 species